GGUGCUACGCUCCUGGUGGUCCUGGCGCUGGGUCUUGGGACGCGGGGUCAGGGCCUCGGGCCCCGGGUAAUGUCCGAGGAGACGCCUCCAGGCUACGGCCGCCCCCCUCACGCCCGAGACCCGCCAACCUGGGGCUGCCUGCGCUCCCUGCCUGCCCGCGUGGGCUCGUGGCUUGCCCCUCGUGGAGUUUCCUGCCUCGGCCCCUGUCCGGUGGAUGCUGCGGCCUCGCGGCCCCACGCUUCAUACACUUGCCGGGAUUUGCAGGCCCUGAAUGAAGACUGUGCCCUCUCCCAUCCCAUAGGAAAUGCCAGAUACUGUAGGUAGCGAGGGUUCUCGCCAUUCUGUCUUCUGCUUGACUCCCCGCAAGUGUAGAUAGAGGACAUUUCCCUCCUCGAUGGCUGCUGGGGCUGGUGAUGUCACCUCCGAGGGUACUCAGUUGAUCAGGCCUGACUGGCGGAGGUGGCCCAUUCCAGGAUCCAAACCCUUGAUCUUGCUGUUACCAGCACCACACUCCAACCAACUGAGCUAAUCGGCCAGCCUCGAAUUACCGCAUUUUAAAAUUACCCGGUUCCAUGUGAGGCCAAGGACACGGGCAGAAAGGGCCAAAGGAUGAGGGGUCCAUGAGGGCCUCAGCUUAGCAACAGCAGACAGAUCUUCCUUGGAGGCUCCUACUUGGCAACCAGCUGUCUUCAGGCACGAGCAAGGCCCAAGUGACCUAUUGGACACAGUCCUCACAACAAGGAGAAACUGAGCCUCAGAGAGGUGGGCUUCCUGAGAUCACACCCUUGUACCCUUCACCCCAACCCCGACCCCCAUCACAAUCCUGGGCCUGUGUAGUGGCAGUGAGCCCGGGUCACCUGUGACCGAAGCCAGACAGACCUCGGUUUCCUUGGCCCCCGCUGACUGAUGCAACACAGCUGAGAAGUCAGUCAGCAGCACCCAGCCGGUAAUGUCCGAGUGGGCCACCAGAGGGCAGCCCUUCAACACGGAUGGUGGCCACAGGGCUUCCAGAAGACUGAUGCAAAGUUACAUCAUCCCAGCAUUUCCCCAGGAGGAGGAAGGAUACCACACGUGUCCACCAAUGUGGCUGAGCCCUGUGGCAAGACGCUUUGUCGGUGUAACGGAAGCAUCAGCAGCCUUUCUCGUCGUAGAUGGUAGGCCUGCCCCUCCUAGAGUUGUGGUCCCCAGGCAGUUGAUGCAGCUGGCUGGUCUAAGAGGCCUGGGCAAGAGGGAGCUGGGAUGGCUCCGAAAAGCAGCUUUUCCACAUUCACUCCUGCUUCCCAGAUUAAUAGUGUGCAAGAAGCUACAUUCUGGUCCCAUACUUUUAAGCAGGGCUCUGGUGCAGAUCUAUGAAUAGUUUUAAAGGGUUAGCUGAGGCAGGAAACAGAGCCAGCCCGUUUCCCCUCUUAGGCUCACAGCGGCUCACCACACGGCCCCUCUUCAGUGCACAUGGCCCUCAGAGGGCACAGGUGGGCUCCUGCCUUCUGUCUCUAACCCAGCCCGGCGGUGGGUGUGGCUGCAGGCCUGGACUCCCUGGAGGCAUCCUGCCAGCCUUUCAUCAUCCAGAAAGAGGACAGAGAGGCUCGGGGAGAAGAAGACCAACCGGUACUGGGGACAUUUGCAAUCCACACAGUCCCCGUCACCUGGUAUCUCUGAAAUGUCUAUGGAAACAGUAAAUUACUAUUUGCUCAACUGUUCUGAAAAUACACGGGGAGGGGUGAGGGAGAACCCUCCUUCCUGCCUCCAGGUGAUGAUAAAAGUGAUUGCCAGGGGCCCAGAGCGGGAGUCUGGUGCUUGCUCACGAUCCUAAUCUCCAACUUGAUCGUCUACGUCAUCAAAGCGCAUGAAAGAGCAGGAGCUUGCCGACCUCUGUGCUGCCUGCACAGACAACCACGUGUGUUCCCCGGAGCCUCUAAUCCGCUUUACUCUUCCCCUUCCUCCCUCUCUCCCUGCUCGCUCAGCCUCCUGGAGCUUUCGCCUGUGGCUUGUUUUGCUUUGUUCUCUAAGGUAACUUUUUCUUUUGGACGAACUAGAUUUGCAGAAACGUUGCAGAUCGUUCUGAGAGUAACGGGUGGUCAUCUUCCACGGUACAUCGGUCAAGACUAACACACAAACACUGCUACAGCACUGUUAACUAACUCCAGACUUCACUUAGAUUUCACUAGCUUUCUCCACUAAUGUUGUUGUUCUGUCCCCUCCAAGGUCCCAUGCAACAGACAACCUUGCUUUCGGGUGCAGCUCACUUUUCAGAGAGCUGAUUCGAGACCCUGACCCAUUGUGCGCCAUGUGACUGCUGGGCGUGUAGAUGCCACACCCUUGGGUUGUGCUGUCAGUAGCCCCUCAAAUACCUGCAGCUCUGAAGAUGGCUGGGGCCUUCUUGGACGUUCUCCCCACGGACCCCUGACUCUGGCCUUCUCCCACCCCCUUAGCGGACCCCUGGCUCCUCCUCUCUCUGGUUGCCUCUGAUUCCAGGAUCAGUCAUUAGCCACUUAGUAUAAACCACAGGCUUUCCUGCAGCAGCGCACGUGGCCGAGAUGUGCAGAUGCCAACUUCCUUGGUGCCCUUGUCCUUCUCCUUUCUUUCUCCCUGAUGUGCUGGAGUUGCAGAAUGCCUCGGCUCUAUUUUGCAAAUCAGGGAACCAAGCACAAAGAAGCAAAGCUGCUGGCUCCAGAAACCCACAGCAGGAUCUCACUGGGGUCUGCAGCCUCCUCUGGCCUCCGAGUGGAGCCCUUGCCUUGCUUAGACCACUGGGUCACAUUAGCCUGACAGGUUCCUGUGCAAGGCAGGGGAGCACAGUGGUGCCAGUGCAGUCCCGAGCAGGGCCCCGUGCCAACCCCAGCCCUGGUGGCCUCUCUCACGCUCCCGCGCAGCUCUCUGGCCCUGCGGCUCAGCACCGUCCUUUCUCUUCAUUCCGCUGCCAUUCCCACCUCCACCUUCGCUCUGUCACACCACCCAACCCAGAGAGAGAAUGAACUCGUCUUUAAAAGCACCAUGUGCUAAUGACUCUAGGUGGUAAUGAUGUACCCACGCAGCCUCAUCAACUGUACAAGUGUCCCACUCUGGGGCAGGAUGGGGACAGCAGGAGAGGCUGCGCACUCCGGGGGUGGGAGUGAUGGAAACUCUGUACUUCUGCUCAAUUUUGCUGUGAACCUAAAACUGCUCUUGAAAGGGGCAGGUGCUUUGUAGUUAAUUGUGGUUGCCCAAAUCCUCAUGUUGAAGCCUCACCCUCAGUACCUCAGAAUGCGGCUGCAUUUGGAGACGGGGCCUCUACAGAGCUGACUAAGUAGAAAUGAGGCUGUUCUUGUGGGGCCAACUCCAAUCAGACCAGUGUCCUCAUGAGAAGAGAAGAUUUGGACACACAGAGGAUGCACAGAAGACCAGGUGAGGACACAGGGAGAAGACGGCCAUCUGCACGACAGUGAGGGAGGCCUCAGAGGAAACCAGCCCUGCUGGGACCUGGAUGUAGGAUUUCUAGGUUCCAGGA